rnacentral:tRNA from 1 species
AUUUAUAUAAUAUAAAAAGUAUAAUUGAUUUCCAAUCAAAAAGUCUAAAAUUUAGUAUAAAUA